CAUGCAAGUCGAGCGAAGCCUUCGGGCUUAGCGGCGGACGGGUGAGUAACGCGUGGGAACGUGCCCCUUGGUACGGAAUAGUCCCUGGAAACGGGGUUUAAUACCGUAUGAGCUCUUCGGAGGAAAGAUUUAUCGCCAAGGGAUCGGCCCGCGUUGGAUUAGGUAGUUGGUGGGGUAAUGGCCUACCAAGCCGACGAUCCAUAGCUGGUUUGAGAGGAUGAUCAGCCACACUGGGACUGAGACACGGCCCAGACUCCUACGGGAGGCAGCAGUGGGGAAUCUUAGACAAUGGGGGAAACCCUGAUCUAGCCAUGCCGCGUGAUUGAUGAAGGCCUUAGGGUUGUAAAGAUCUUUCGCUGGGGAAGAUAAUGACGGUACCCAGUAAAGAAGCCCCGGCUAACUCCGUGCCGGCAGCCGCGGUAAUACGGAGGGGGCUAGCGUUGUUCGGAAUUACUGGGCGUAAAGCGCGCGUAGGCGGACUGGAAAGUUGGGGGUGAAAUCCCGGGGCUCAACCCCGGAACUGCCUCCAAAACUGUCAGUCUGGAGUUCGAGAGAGGUGAGUGGAAUUGCGAGUGUAGAGGUGAAAUUCGUAGAUAUUCGCAGGAACACCAGUGGCGAAAGCGGCUCACUGGCUCGAUACUGACGCUGAGGUGCGAAAGUGUGGGGAGCAUACAGGAUUAGAUACCCUGGUAGUCCACACCGUAAACGAUGAAUGCCAGACGUCGGGCAGCAUGCUGUUCGGUGUCACACCUAACGGAUUAAGCAUUCCGCCUGGGGAGUACGGCCGCAAGGUUAAAACUCAAAGGAAU
rnacentral:rRNA from 1 species